UUUCUUCCCCUCAUUUUGUUUCUCAUGAUCUCAAAUCCCAAAACCCCAAUCCCUAACCUGACACUCCCUCUCGCUCUCCUCUCUCUUUAUCUCUUCUGCCUCCUACGUCGUCGCCUCUGGUGCCGCCACCGGUGACCACCACUGCCACUGCCACACCUUCUCCCUCACCGCCCUCUCUCUCUCUUCUCCUAUUCUCUUCACCGAUCUUCACCAAUCGUCUACUUCGUCUUCUCAACUCUCUUCGUCGGUUCCAAAAUCCUAACCUUACCUUCAAUCUUCUCCAAUCCCUUCACAAGCCAUAUGUUCAAAUCCAGACACUACACUCCCUUCAACUGUUUCAGAACCUUUGUCUACAAAGGACUACCGUCGGACUCGUCAAAACAGCGAUCUUGAAUGGGCUAAUUGUGACGAGAAAGAUCAGGCAGCGAGGCACAUUAAUGCGUCAGAAACGAAAUCAGAAGAUGGACAGCUCAUCUUUGCCCUAAUUUUUCUCUCCAUUUCUGUUCAAAUGCAAGUACACACACUCAAAAAGAAGUACCCAUCACUUGAUAUGGAGAUAUUCUUCGAGUAGGAGCUUACUUCUUGUGAGAUGCAUGUCUGUGAAGAAUGCAACUAACUUUUGUUUUUGUUACCAACGGAGAAUGAUGAGGAAAACUUUUAUUUUUUAUUUAUGUUAUUUUGAAUUGUGAACAACAUUAUGUAUUUAAACAUUAUAUAUGUAUUAUGCAAUAUUA